rnacentral:rRNA from 1 species
CCUACGGGUGGCAGCAGUGAGGAAUAUUGGUCAAUGGGCGGAAGCCUGAACCAGCCAAGUCGCGUGAGGGAGUAAGGCCCUACGGGUCGUAAACCUCUUUUGCCGGGGAGCAGUGCCCAGCUCGUGAGCUGGGAGGGAGCGUACCCGGAGAAAAAGCAUCGGCUAACUCCGUGCCAGCAGCCGCGGUAAUACGGAGGAUGCGAGCGUUAUCCGGAUUUAUUGGGUUUAAAGGGUGCGUAGGCGGGCCUUCAGGCCGGCGGUAAAAUUGAGAGGCUCAACCUCUUCGAGCCGUUGAAACUGGUUUUCUUGAGUGAGUGAGAAGUAUGCGGAAUGCGUGGUGUAGCGGUGAAAUGCAUAGAUAUCACGCAGAACUCCGAUUGCGAAGGCAGCAUACCGGCGCUCAACUGACGCUCAUGCACGAAAGUGUGGGUAUCGAACAGGAUUAGAUACCCGAGUAGUC